CCCUCCCUGCUGUCAUGCUGUGCCUCUAUUCAUCCCAUGCAAAAAAUACAAUUAAGAGUAUUUUAACUCUUAAUGCACCUGGUCGUAAGUAAACUGUCCUUUAUUUAUGACCCCACUUUGCUCCAAAAAUAUUUGAGGAAGCUUAUAAAAGACACAUGCAUGUUACAACUAUCCAAGCAAGGACAAAUGAAUGCUACAUGUAGGUUUAUGUUGCAUCUCCUCUGAGCAGCAGAUCAAGUG
rnacentral:lncRNA from 1 species